rnacentral:rRNA from 1 species
AAUCAACGCUGGCGGCGUGCCUAACACAUGCAAGUCGAACGAGAAAGGGACUUCGGUCCUGAGUAUAGUGGCGCACGGGUGAGUAACACGUGACUAAUCUACCCUCAAGUGGGGAAUAACCAAGAGAAAUCUUGGCUAAUACCGCAUAACACUUACGAGUCAAAGCAGUAAUGCGCUUGGGGAGGAGGUCGCGGCAGAUUAGCUAGUUGGCGGGGUAAUGGCCCACCAAGGCGAUGAUCUGUAUCCGGCCUGAGAGGGCGCACGGACACACUGGAAC